rnacentral:rRNA from 1 species
AUGAACGCUGGCGGCGUGCCUAAUACAUGCAAGUCGAACGCUGGAGAUCUAGCUUGCUAGAUCGAAGGAGUGGCGAACGGGUGAGUAAUACAUAAGCAACCUACCCACGAAGACUGGGAUAAUCUCUGGAAACGGGGACUAAUACCGGAUAGGUAAUCGGAAGGCAUCUUCUGGUUAUUAAAGGUUAAAAACACUGGUGGAUGGGCUUAUGGCGCAUUAGUUAGUUGGUGAGGUAACGGCCCACCAAGACGAUGAUGCGUAGCCGGCCUGAGAGGGUGAACGGCCACAUUGGGACUGAGACACGGCCCAGACUCCUACGGGAGGCAGCAGUAGGGAAUUUUCGGCAAUGGGGGCAACCCUGACCGAGCAACGCCGCGUGAGUGAAGACGGCCUUCGGGUUGUAAAGCUCUGUUGUAAGGGAAGAACGGUAGAUAGAGAAUAUCUAAGUGACGGUACCUUACCAGAAAGCCACGGCUAACUACGU